GACUUUCCUGUGCAUUCCUGGCUGGCCUCAAUUUACAGAUCUCCUCUCUCAACUCAACUUUUCCCCAGUAUUUGGAUCUGCAGGCAAGCGCCAUUAUACAGCUGGGGGCAUCUCUUUUAAAAGAAUAUAUGAUUAAGUAUCAGAAAAGUUCAUGCAAAUCAGUGGGCCUGAGGUAUACAUUUAAUUAAUAUCAGGGCCAAUCUGCCUCUUAAACAUGGGCUUGAUGCUGAGAGCUUAGAAGAGAUGAGCAUUCAUGUGGACAGAGGGCUGGCCCCUCACCGGACGGUGCAAAGAGAUGUGGGAGAGGGAGAGUCUAGGAGGACCACAGGAGUGCUCACACAGACCCAACCUCAAUGAUGCCCACCCCAGGGGGAGAAGGGGUAAGAGUCCUCCCACUAGCUUCAUCAAUCCUUUCUUCCCUCUGCUUGCCCACAGCCCCAUCAUAAUGUGUGAUGGGGUACUGUCUCCCUAACACCAGUGUCAAUUCCUGGGUAGUAUCCAGAGACCUGGCCAGGCUUCAUCUCUCCAAUAGAGACAUCAGCAAAGGAAAGAGCACAGCCUCCAAGAAGGAAGCUUAUAGCCCCUCAUUGGGCCAAGGCUGAGUUCACCAAGAUGCUCCCUAGAAGAAGAUGGAGACACUGUGUCCUAAGAGGAUCUCAUACCCCAGACUAGAAUAAUUCUUCCCCACAUGCCUGGACCUCUUCUGGGCCUUCAGUAAGUGUGUAAACUCCAUGCUGUACUCUCCUUGUCUGAACCAAGUCCACUUCGAUGUGCUAGAUGUCAGCUAAUCAUAGAAAUUACAACGACCAGCUUGUAUCUGA
rnacentral:lncRNA from 1 species